rnacentral:rRNA from 1 species
ACGGAAUAGAUACCCCGGUAGUCCACGCCCUAAACGAUGUCUACUAGUUGUUGGUGGAGUAAAAUCCAUGAGUAAACGCAGCUAAACGCGUGAAGUAGACCGCCUGGGGAGUACGGCCGCAAGAUUAAAACUCAAAUGAAUUGACGGGGGCCCGCACAAGCGGUGGAUUAUGUGGAUUAAAUUCGAUGCAACGCGAAAAACCUUACCUGGCCUUGACAUGUAACGAACUUUCCAGAGAUGGAUUGGUGCUCGAAAGAGAACGUUAACACAGGUGCUGCAUGGCUGUCGUCAGCUCGUGUCGUGAGAUGUUGGGUUAAGUCCCGCAACGAGCGCAACCCUUGCCAUUAAUUGCCAUCAUUUAGUUGGGCACUUUAAUGGGACUGCCGGUGACAAACCGGAGGAA